rnacentral:rRNA from 1 species
UAGAGGAAGUAAAAGUCGUAACAAGGUUUCCGUAGGUGAACCUGCGGAAGGAUCAUUAAUGAAUCUUGAAAAGGGUUGUAGCUGGCCUUCUUGUUUGAGGGGGCAUUUUGUGCACAUCCUGAUCAUCAUCCAUGUCUCACACCUGUGCACAUCAUGUAGGACUGGCCUUAAAUUGGAGUGGAGUCUUUCUUGAUUCUGUUCUGUGGCCUUUCCUAUGUUUUAUAUCACAAACUAUUGUCCAAAAGAAUGUCAAUCGCGUUUAACGCAAUGUAUCAUACAACUUUCAGCAACGGAUCUCUUGGCUCUCGCAUCGAUGAAGAACGCAGCGAAAUGCGAUAAGUAAUGUGAAUUGCAGAAUUCAGUGAAUCAUCGAAUCUUUGAACGCACCUUGCGCUCCUUGGUAUUCCGAGGAGCAUGCCUGUUUGAGUGUCAUGGAAUUCUCAACUCUGCUCACUUUUUGUGGGUAGGGCUUGGAUUUGGAGGAUUGUGCUGGAUCACUUGAGUGUCCGGCUCCUCUUGAAUUUAUUAGCUCGAGCCCUUCAGUGGAUCAGCUAUGGUGUGAUAGUUGUCUACACCGUGUUGUGAAACAGUGUUAGGCUUUCGGCUUCAAAUUGUCCCUCAGAUGGGACAACCAAACUUGACCUUGGACCUCAGAUCAGGUAGGGUUACCCGCUGAACUUAAGCAUAUCA